rnacentral:tRNA from 1 species
GCUUUCAUAGCUCAGUCGGUAGCAGCACAAGACUUUUAUUGGCUCCGCAAAGACUCCUUUGUCGCUUUGCUGCGCAGCAGAGCGAGGCACGAGCCUCUGCGAAGCCAGAGUAAUCUUGGGGUCGUGGGUUCGAGCCCCACUGGAAGCU